rnacentral:rRNA from 1 species
ACCUACAGAGUCAGGC